rnacentral:rRNA from 1 species
AGAGUUUGAUCAUGGCUCAGAUUGAACGCUGGCGGCAGGCUUAACACAUGCAAGUCGAGCGGAGUUGUGGUGCUUGCACCAUAACUUAGCGGCGGACGGGUGAGUAAUGCUUAGGAAUCUGCCUAUUAGUGGGGGACAACAUCUCGAAAGGGAUGCUAAUACCGCAUACGUCCUACGGGAGAAAGCAGGGGACCUUCGGGCCUUGCGCUAAUAGAUGAGCCUAAGUCGGAUUAGCUAGUUGGUGGGGUAAAGGCCUACCAAGGCGACGAUCUGUAGCGGGUCUGAGAGGAUGAUCCGCCACACUGGGACUGAGACACGGCCCAGACUCCUACGGGAGGCAGCAGUGGGGAAUAUUGGACAAUGGGGGGAACCCUGAUCCAGCCAUGCCGCGUGUGUGAAGAAGGCCUUUUGGUUGUAAAGCACUUUAAGCGAGGAGGAGGCUACUGGUAUUAAUACUACCGGAUAGUGGACGUUACUCGCAGAAUAAGCACCGGCUAACUCUGUGCCAGCAGCCGCGGUAAUACAGAGGGUGCGAGCGUUAAUCGGAUUUACUGGGCGUAAAGCGUGCGUAGGCGGCUUUUUAAGUCGGAUGUGAAAUCCCUGAGCUUAACUUAGGAAUUGCAUUCGAUACUGGGAGGCUAGAGUAUGGGAGAGGAUGGUAGAAUUCCAGGUGUAGCGGUGAAAUGCGUAGAGAUCUGGAGGAAUACCGAUGGCGAAGGCAGCCAUCUGGCCUAAUACUGACGCUGAGGUACGAAAGCAUGGGGAGCAAACAGGAUUAGAUACCCUGGUAGUCCAUGCCGUAAACGAUGUCUACUAGCCGUUGGGG